UCCUACGGGAGGCAGCAGUGGGGAAUAUUGCACAAUGGGCGCAAGCCUGAUGCAGCAACGCCGCGUGAGGGACGAAGGCCUUCGGGUUGUAAACCUCUUUUAGUAGGGAAGAAGCGACUGGGUUUUCCUGGGAGUGACGGUACCUGCAGAAAAAGCACCGGCUAACUACGUGCCAGCAGCCGCGGUAAUACGUAGGGUGCAAGCGUUGUCCGGAAUUAUUGGGCGUAAAGAGCUCGUAGGCGGUUUGUCGCGUCUGCUGUGAAAACCCGAGGCUCAACCUCGGGCCUGCAGUGGGUACGGGCAGACUAGAGUGCGGUAGGGGAGAUUGGAAUUCCUGGUGUAGCGGUGGAAUGCGCAGAUAUCAGGAGGAACACCAAUGGCGAAGGCAGAUCUCUGGGCCGUAACUGACGCUGAGGAGCGAAAGCAUGGGGAGCGAACAGGAUUAGAUACCCUGGUAGUCCAUGCCGUAAACGUUGGGAACUAGAUGUGGGGACCAUUCCACGGUCUCCGUGUCGCAGCUAACGCAUUAAGUUCCCCGCCUGGGGAGUACGGCCGCAAGGCUAAAACUCAAAGGAAUUGACGGGGGCCCGCACAAGCGGCGGAGCAUGCGGAUUAAUUCGAUGCAACGCGAAGAACCUUACCAAGGCUUGACAUAUACCGGAAACGGCUGGAAACAGUCGCCCCGCAAGGUCGGUAUACAGGUGGUGCAUGGUUGUCGUCAGCUCGUGUCGUGAGAUGUUGGGUUAAGUCCCGCAACGAGCGCAACCCUCGUCCUAUGUUGCCAGCACGUAAUGGUGGGAACUCAUGGGAUACUGCCGGGGUCAACUCGGAGGAAGGUGGGGAUGACGUCAAAUCAUCAUGCCCCUUAUGUCUUGGGCUUCACGCAUGCUACAAUGGCCGGUACAAAGGGCUGCGAUACCGCAAGGUGGAGCGAAUCCCAAAAAGCCGGUCUCAGUUCGGAUUGAGGUCUGCAACUCGACCUCAUGAAGUCGGAGUCGCUAGUAAUCGCAGAUCAGCAGCGCUGCGGUGAAUCGUUCCCGGGCCU
rnacentral:rRNA from 1 species